AGGAAUAAAAGAGAUGAGGGUGAAAUAAUAAAGAGACGAAGGUGAAAUAAUAAAGAGAUGAGGGUGAAAUAAUAAAGAGAUGAAGGUGAAAUAAUAAAGAGAUGAAGGUGAAAUAAUAAAGAGAUGAGGGUGAAAUAAUAAAAGGAUGAAGGUGAAAUAAUAAAGAGAUGAAGGUGAAAUAAUAAAGAGAUGAAGGUGAAAUAAUAAAGAGAUGAAGGUGAAAUAAUAAAGAGAUGAAGGUGAAAUAAUAAAAGGAUGAAGGUGAAAUAAUAAAGAGACGAGGGUGAAAUAAUAAAGGGAUGAAGG